rnacentral:rRNA from 1 species
GAUGAACGCUGGCGGCGUGCUUAACACAUGCAAGUCGAACGGAAAGGCUCCUGCUUGCAGGGGUACUCGAGUGGCGAACGGGUGAGUAACACGUGGGUGAUCUGCCCUGCACUUCGGGAUAAGCCUGGGAAACUGGGUCUAAUACCGGAUAGGACGAUGGUUUGGAUGCCAUUGUGGAAAGUUUUUUCGGUGUGGGAUGAGCUCGCGGCCUAUCAGCUUGUUGGUGGGGUAAUGGCCUACCAAGGCGUCGACGGGUAGCCGGCCUGAGAGGGUGUACGGCCACAUUGGGACUGAGAUACGGCCCAGACGCCUACGGGAGGCAGCAGUGGGGAAUAUUGCACAAUGGGCGCAAGCCUGAUGCAGCGACGCCGCGUGGGGGAUGACGGCCUUCGGGUUGUAAACUCCUUUCGCUAGGGACGAAGCGCAAGUGACGGUACCUGGAGAAGAAGCACCGGCUAACUACGUG